AGCUGUGUGUAUUAAUACACAGUAAUUUCUGCUCCAUGCUUAGUAAAUAGCCGCAGUACUCUGACUGUGCAAAGGUAGCAUAAUCAGUUGGCUUUUAAUUAAAGUCUGGUAUGAAUGAAAAUAUGGGUAGUAACUGUCUUAGCAUACUUAUUUGAAAUUACUGAGCAAGUGCAAAUACCUGCAACUAAAAUAAUAGACGAGAAGACCCUAGAAACUUGAGCUAGUUUUUGUUGGGGCGACAAAAUUACAGUUAACUAAUUUUAUAAUACAUGACGCAAAGUAGAAAGAAUAAGUUACUCUAGGGAUAACAGCAUAAUUUUUAAGUUUGUGACCUCGAUGUUGGACUAGGUACUGCACCCUUAAGACAGGGGUGUAUUAUGCUCUGUUCGAGCAGAUUUACCUACAU
rnacentral:rRNA from 1 species